UGGGGAAUAUUGGACAAUGGGCGCAAGCUUGAUCCAGCCAUGCCGCGUGAGUGAUGAAGGCCCUAGGGUUGUAAAGCUCUUUCACCGGUGAAGAUAAUGACGGUAACCGGAGAAGAAGCCCCGGCUAACUUCGUGCCAGCAGCCGCGGUAAUACGAAGGGGGCUAGCGUUGUUCGGAUUUACUGGGCGUAAAGCGCACGUAGGCGGACUUUUAAGUCAGGGGUGAAAUCCCGGGGCUCAACCCCGGAACUGCCUUUGAUACUGGAAGUCUUGAGUAUGGUAGAGGGGAGUUGAAUUCCGAGUUUAGAGGUGAAAUUCGUAGAUAUUCGGAAGAACACCAGUGGCGAAGGCGGCUCACUGGACCAUUACUGACGCUGGGGUGCGAAAGCGUGGGGAGCAAACAGG
rnacentral:rRNA from 1 species